ACCUGAGUGGCUCAGUUGGUUAAGUGUCUGACUUCAGCUCAGGUCACGAUCUCACAGUUUGUGGGUUCAAGCCCCACGUCGGGCU
rnacentral:tRNA from 1 species